CGCUCCUCUCCUGAUAUUUAUAUUUAUGCAGCUCUGUGAAUUAAUUUAUUUAGAGCACGGUUGACUUGUUUCUGUCACGUUUGAAUGAAAUGCUGAAGAAGAUGUGAAGAUACACAGGCAGGUUCGACCUCGCACUUCACAAAAACAACCCGAACAGAGACUCAAGGUCCAAACCUGCGACGACGUGCCUCUAAAUCCUGAUGACAGGCAACACAGAGUCACAACACUGAUACAGCUAAUGAACGCCCAAGUGAAAUAUCACUCAAGAGAUGCCCACAUGCAGCUGUGUUUUUCAAGGCCAGCCCAAGGUUACUUCCCAGCAGCAGCAGCAGCAGCAGACAG